UCAAAGUGGUCAGAGCUUGAGAAAAAUUUGGCUAAAUUCUUGUUUUUUAGAUGUUUUCCCCCAGCUAGUCUAAUGCUGUUUUAUCAUUUGUUUUUGGCUGUAGCGAUGGUUGCUGGGAUCGAGAAGCGACUAUUUGAAGGCGAAAGUGAGAAGGGCAAAGUAUUCAAGUAUUCCCAAGUAUUCCCCCAACGAUUUGGACAAUGAACUGUUCAAAGUUGCGGGUGAAAUAUUCGGUGUGAGCAUUGCCCAAGGAAGACCAGCACCACGGUUUAUGCAGGAGUGGUGUUACCACUACCUCGUCACUGGGAACCUUAAAACUGAUGGUGUGCAUGACACAGAGUUGUCACCAUUAAUCAAAACGAUUGAAGAUGCAUCUGACCUGUCCCUCUACGUUGAAGAAAUCCUGGAUUGUGGCUACACUGGUCAAAUCAACAUUGACCAUAAGGAAAGCAUAUUAAGGGCUAUCGUACUGCAUGUGACCACAAAACGCACACCAAUGCUGCAACAGAUGCGUGAAGGGCUUGAGGUGUGCAACCUGAUCAAGGUCAUGCAGAUAAAGCCAAAUGAGUGUCGCAAUCUCUUUGUCGUAGGGGAUGAUGA